rnacentral:rRNA from 12 species
AUAACAAAAAAAACCGGCGCCUGAUCCCGUCCGAUCUCGGAAACUAAGCAGGACCGGGCCUGGUUAGUACUUGGACGGGAGACCGCCUGGGAAUACCAGGUGCUGUA